rnacentral:rRNA from 1 species
UACGAAGGGGGCUAGCGUUGCUCGGAAUUACUGGGCGUAAAGCGCACGUAGGCGGCUUCUUAAGUCGGUGGUGAAAUCCUGGAGCUCAACUCCAGAACUGCCUUCGAUACUGGGAAGCUCGAGUCCGGGAGAGGUGAGUGGAACUGCGAGUGUAGAGGUGAAAUUCGUAGAUAUUCGCAAGAACACCAGUGGCGAAGGCGACUCACUGGCCCGUUACUGACGCUGAGGCGCGAAAGCGUGGGGAGCAAACGGG